rnacentral:rRNA from 1 species
AAUGAACGCUGGCGGCAGGCCUAACACAUGCAAGUCGAACGGAUCCUUCGGGAUUAGUGGCGGACGGGUGAGUAACACGUGGGAACGUGCCCUUUGGUUCGGAACAACUCAGGGAAACUUGAGCUAAUACCGGAUGUGCCCUUCGGGGGAAAGAUUUAUCGCCAUUGGAGCGGCCCGCGUCUGAUUAGCUAGUUGGCGAGGUAAAGGCUCACCAAGGCGACGAUCAGUAGCUGGUCUGAGAGGAUGAUCAGCCACAUUGGGACUGAGACACGGUCCAAACUCCUACGGGAGGCAGCAGUGGGGAAUCUUGCGCAAUGGGCGAAAGCCUGAAGCAGCCAUGCCGCGUGAAUGAUGAAGGUCUUAGGAUUGUAAAAUUCUUUCACCGGGGACGAUAAUGACGGUACCCGGAGAAGAAGCCCCGGCUAACUUCGUGCCAGCCGCCGCGGUAA